rnacentral:rRNA from 1 species
AACGAACGCUAGCGGCAGGCUUAACACAUGCAAGUCGAACGCCCGUAGCAAUACGGGAGUGGCGGACGGGUGAGUAACGCGUGGGAACGUGCCCUGAGGUACGGAAUAACUGCGGGAAACUGCAGCUAAUACCGUAUGAGCCCGGCAAGGGGGAAAGAUUUAUCGCCUUAGGAGCGGCCCGCGUCGGAUUAGCUAGGUGGUGGGGUAACGGCUUACCAAGGCUUCGAUCCGUAGCUGGUCUGAGAGGACGAUCAGCCACACUGGGACUGAGACCCGGCCCAGACUCCUACGGGAGGCAGCAGUGGGGAAUUUUGCGCAAUGGGGGCAACCCUGACGCAGCCAUGCCGCGUGAAUGAUGAAGGCCUUAGGGUUGUAAAGUUCUUUUGCCCGUGACGAUGAUGACGGUAACGGGAGAAUAAGCUCCGGCUAACUUCGUGCCAGCCGCCGCGGUAAGAC